rnacentral:rRNA from 1 species
GGGGAAUUUUCCGCAAUGGGCGAAAGCCUGACGGAGCAAUACCGCGUGAGGGAUGACUGCCUAUGGGUUGUAAACCUCUUUUUUCAGGGAGGAAUCAAUGACGUUACCUGAAGAAUAAGCAUCGGCUAACUCCGUGCCAGCAGCCGCGGUAAGACGGAGGAUGCAAGUGUUAUCCGGAAUCACUGGGCGUAAAGCGUCUGUAGGUGGUUUGAUAAGUCAACUGUUAAAUCUUGAGGCUCAACCUCAAAACCGCAGUCGAAACUAUUAGACUAGAGUAUAGUAGGGGUAAGGGGAAUUUCCAGUGGAGCGGUGAAAUGCGUAGAGAUUGGAAAGAACACCGAUGGCGAAGGCACUUUACUGGGCUAUGACUAACACUGAGAGACGAAAGCUAGGGUAGCAAAAAGGAUUAGAUACCCCUGU